rnacentral:rRNA from 2 species
UUAAAUUGAAGAGUUUGAUCAUGGCUCAGAUUGAACGCUGGCGGCAGGCCUAACACAUGCAAGUCGAACGGUAACAGGAAGCAGCUUGCUGCUUUGCUGACGAGUGGCGGACGGGUGAGUAAUGUCUGGGAAACUGCCUGAUGGAGGGGGAUAACUACUGGAAACGGUGGCUAAUACCGCAUAACGUCGCAAGACCAAAGAGGGGGACCUUCGGGCCUCUUGCCAUCAGAUGUGCCCAGAUGGGAUUAGCUAGUUGGUGAGGUAACGGCUCACCAAGGCGACGAUCCCUAGCUGGUCUGAGAGGAUGACCAGCCACACUGGAACUGAGACACGGUCCAGACUCCUACGGGAGGCAGCAGUGGGGAAUAUUGCACAAUGGGCGCAAGCCUGAUGCAGCCAUGCCGCGUGUAUGAAGAAGGCCUUCGGGUUGUAAAGUACUUUCAGCGGGGAGGAAGGUGUUGUGGUUAAUAACCGCAGCAAUUGACGUUACCCGCAGAAGAAGCACCGGCUAACUCCGUGCCAGCAGCCGCGGUAAUACGGAGGGUGCAAGCGUUAAUCGGAAUUACUGGGCGUAAAGCGCACGCAGGCGGUCUGUCAAGUCGGAUGUGAAAUCCCCGGGCUCAACCUGGGAACUGCAUUCGAAACUGGCAGGCUUGAGUCUUGUAGAGGGGGGUAGAAUUCCAGGUGUAGCGGUGAAAUGCGUAGAGAUCUGGAGGAAUACCGGUGGCGAAGGCGGCCCCCUGGACAAAGACUGACGCUCAGGUGCGAAAGCGUGGGGAGCAAACAGGAUUAGAUACCCUGGUAGUCCACGCCGUAAACGAUGUCUACUUGGAGGUUGUGCCCUUGAGGCGUGGCUUCCGGAGCUAACGCGUUAAGUAGACCGCCUGGGGAGUACGGCCGCAAGGUUAAAACUCAAAUGAAUUGACGGGGGCCCGCACAAGCGGUGGAGCAUGUGGUUUAAUUCGAUGCAACGCGAAGAACCUUACCUGGUCUUGACAUCCACAGAACUUUCCAGAGAUGGAUUGGUGCCUUCGGGAACUGUGAGACAGGUGCUGCAUGGCUGUCGUCAGCUCGUGUUGUGAAAUGUUGGGUUAAGUCCCGCAACGAGCGCAACCCUUAUCCUUUGUUGCCAGCGAUUAGGUCGGGAACUCAAAGGAGACUGCCAGUGAUAAACUGGAGGAAGGUGGGGAUGACGUCAAGUCAUCAUGGCCCUUACGACCAGGGCUACACACGUGCUACAAUGGCGCAUACAAAGAGAAGCGACCUCGCGAGAGCAAGCGGACCUCAUAAAGUGCGUCGUAGUCCGGAUUGGAGUCUGCAACUCGACUCCAUGAAGUCGGAAUCGCUAGUAAUCGUGGAUCAGAAUGCCACGGUGAAUACGUUCCCGGGCCUUGUACACACCGCCCGUCACACCAUGGGAGUGGGUUGCAAAAGAAGUAGGUAGCUUAACCUUCGGGAGGGCGCUUACCACUUUGUGAUUCAUGACUGGGGUGAAGUCGUAACAAGGUAACCGUAGGGGAACCUGCGGUUGGAUCACCUCCUUACCUGAAAGAA